rnacentral:rRNA from 1 species
GGUUUAAUUCGAAGCAACGCGAAGAACUUACCAGGUCUUGACAUCCCGAUGCUAUUUCUUAGAGAUGAAAGUUACUUCGGUACAUCGGUGACAGGUGGUGCAUGGUUGUCGUCAGCUCGUGUCGUGAGAUGUUGGGUUAAGUCCCGCAACGAGCGCAACCCCUAUUGUUAGUUGCCAUCAUUCAGUUGGGCACUCUAGCGAGACUGCCGGUAAUAAACCGGAGGAAGGUGGGGAUGACGUCAAAUCAUCAUGCCCCUUAUGACCUGGGCUACACACGUGCUACAAUGGUUGGUACAACGAGUUGCGAGUCGGUGACGGCGAGCUAAUCUCUUAAAGCCAAUCUCAGUUCGGAUUGUAGGCUGCAACUCGCCUACAUGAAGUCGGAAUCGCUAGUAAUCGCGGAUCAGCACGCCGCGGUGAAUACGUUCCCGGGCCUU